ACACACACUCACACACACACACACACACACACACACACACACACACACACGUUGUGUUUCCAUGUUUUAUGGGGACUUUCCAUAGACAUAAUGGUUUUUAUACUGUACAAACUUUAUAUUCUAUCCCCUAAACCUAACCCUACCCCUAAACCUAACCCUCACAGAAAACUUUCUGCAUUUUUACAUUUUCAAAAAACAUAAUUUAGUAUGAUUUAUAAGCUGUUUUCCUCAUGGGGACCGACAAAAUGUCCCCACAAGGUCAAACAUUUCGGGUUUUACUAUCCUUAUGGGGACAUUUGGUCCCCACAAAGUGAUAAAUACACGCUCACACACACUCACACACACACACACACACACACACACACACACACACACACACACACACACUCACACACACACACACACACACACACACUCACACACACACACACACACACACACACACACACACUCACACACACACACACACACACACACACACACACACACACACACACACACACACACACACACACACACACACACACACACACACA